rnacentral:rRNA from 1 species
UACGGGGGGGGCAAGCGUUGUUCGGAAUUACUGGGCGUAAAGGGCUCGUAGGCGGCCAACUAAGUCGGAUGUGAAAUCCCCAGGCUCAACCUGGGAACUGCAUCCGAUACUGGAUGGCUUGAAUUCGGGAGAGGGAUGCAGAAUUCCAGGUGUAGCGGUGAAAUGCGUAGAUAUCUGGAGGAAUACCGGUGGCGAAGGCGGCAUCCUGGACCGACAUUGACGCUGAUGAGCGAAAGCUAGGGGAGCAAACGGG